UACAGGUGGGAUUGCGUUUUAAAUAUUAAAUAGGCAUUAAGUGUGAUUAGGUGGAAUAUGCAACAUGUUGCGCUACGAUUCCGGGAACCCUUGGGUUCCUGCAAAAGCUUUUAAACCCGAAGCGGAUCGGCUCGAGUCUUAAGAGGAGAGUUAGAGGAAUAACCAAAUGAAGGAUGAAUCUAUAGAUAUUGGUUGGAACAUCGAUAGCGACAGCAUCACUCUAUUUUAAGACUGACACUGAAUCACUAAAGUGUGGGGAGCAAAACGG
rnacentral:rRNA from 1 species